rnacentral:misc_RNA from 1 species
GAUGGAAGAACGUAGCGAAAUGCGAUAAGUAGUGUGAAUUGCAGAAUUCAGUGAAUCAUCGAAUCUUUGAACGCACAUUGCGCCCCUUGGUAUCCCGAGGGGCAUGCCUGUUCGAGCGUCAUUUCACCACUCAAGCCUGGCUUGGUGUUGGGCGACGUCCUCUUUGGGGACGCGCCUCGAAACGCUCGGCGGCGUGGCACCGGCUUUAAGCGCAGCAGAAUCUUUCGCUUUGGAAGUCGGGGCCCCGUCUGCCGGAAGACCUGCUCGCAAGGUUGACCUCGGAUCAGGCAGGGAUACCCGCUGAACUUAAGCAUAUCAAUAAGCGGAGGA